rnacentral:rRNA from 1 species
AGUGAACGCUGGCGGCGUGCUUAACACAUGCAAGUCGAACGAGAACGGGUUAUAGCUUGCUACAAUUGUCAGCUAAGUGGCGCACGGGUGAGUAAUGUAUAGGUAAUAUGCAUCUUACUAAGGGAUAACAAAUGGAAACGUUUGCUAAUACCUUAUACUCCUUAUUAACAGAAGUUAAUAAGGGAAAGAUUUAUUGGUAAGAGAUUAGCCUGUAUUGUAUCAGUUAGUUGGUGAGGUAAUGGCUUACCAAGACUAUGACACAUAACUGGUUUGAGAGGAUGAUCAGUCACACUGGAACUGAGACACGGUCCAGACUCCUACGGGAGGCAGCAGUGGGGAAUAUUGCACAAUGGACGAAAGUCUGAUGCAGCAACGCCGCGUGGAGGAUGACACAUUUCGGUGCGUAAACUCCUUUUAUAUGAGAAGAUAAUGACGGUAUCAUAUGAAUAAGCACCGGCUAACUCCGUGCCAGCAGCCGCCGUAA